UGGGUACUCGGAAAAAUGUGGAUUU
rnacentral:piRNA from 1 species